ensembl:lncRNA
CAACAACAACAACAGUACUGGCACCUCCUUACCACAGAACCAUCUCUAUUGCCUUUUCCACAGUCUCCUUAACAUGAGGAUGGAACCAUGAGAAUGGAACCAUGAGGAUGGAACCAUGAUAAUGGAACCAUGAGAAUGGAACCAUGAGGAUGGAACCAUGGGAAUGGAACCAUGAGAAUGGAACCAUGAGGGUGGAACCAUGGGAAUGGAACCAUGAUAAUGGAACCAUGAGGGUGGAACCAUGGGAAUGGAACCAUGAGAAUGGAACCAUGAGGAUGGAACCAUGAGAAUGGAACAAUGGGAAUGGAACCAUGAGAAUGGAACCAUGGGAAUGGAACCAUGAGAAUGGAACCAUGAGGGUGGAACCAUGAGGAUGGAACCA